CACACACACAUAUAUAUAUAUAUAUAUAUAUCAGCACAUGUAUUCCAGCAUUUCAGCACAUAAACAUGUCAAGUUUCAGCACUUGAACAAUAGUUUCAGAAUUUCAGCACAUAUGUCAAGUUUCAGCACUUGGAAAUAUUUCAGCACACGCAUAGUCAUUUCAACCACAAAGUUCGACACACAAAUAAGUUCGUAGACCGCAAAUAGGUUCAACACACAAAUAGUAAAUAGGUUCAACACACAAAUAAGUUCAACAUCUCAACACACAAAUAGGUUCAACAUGUGACAUCUCCAACAUGAAACCGAACGGUCCAGACCAACUUGACUUGCUUUCAUCUUCUCUCCACUUCAUGAGCUUUGACUAGCCUUGACAUCUCAAAGCAUCAAUGCCUAGUACGGGACAUAAACUGCAAGACAUGAGAACUUGAGAGUAAUGAGUACAAGCUAUGUUUUGUUUGCAAUUCUUAUGAACUACUAAGAUAACAAGAUAACAUGAAUACAAGAUAUCUUUGAUGUGCAAUUCUGUAGUAGUAAUAAGAUACAUCAUAACAAGAAUACAAGAUAUGUUUGAUUUGAAUUCUUAAGUACUACCAAGUUCUAACCUGCAUCCCUUCUUGAAUAUCUUGAAGACAAGUCCAGAAGCUAGUUUCUGUUGUGUGAGCAUCUACAAAAGUAGACAAACGUCAACAACAUUUCAGCAAGAGAAAAUAUUAAUGAAGUGCACUAUUUUGUCACCUUUGUACUUGUUUCGAAGCCAAUCUUGCGAGCACAUUAAAACCUCCACCAUAUAAGGUGUAAGUCGGCUUCUAUGAUCAUUGAGCUUUCUGCCACUUAUACUAAAGGCUGACUCUGAAGCAACUGUUGUUACGGGAAUAGCAAAUAUGUCUCUUGCUACUUUCCUUAAGGUCGGAUACCUUGUUCCAGCCACCUUCCACCAAUCCAGCACAUUGGACUUUUCAACGUAAGGCACUAAACCAUCAGUCAAGUACUGCUCUAUUUCACCUUGAAGUCUAGCUGUUGCAGGCAUUUGCUGAGCUACAAAGUUCUGAAAUACACUCAUGAUUGCAGGAGCUUUCAUUGUGGUCAUCAUAGAUUCAUCAUCUGGUGUACAUGCCUCAUUUUCCACUUCAUACUCCUCCAAUAAUGAAUGCAAACUAGCAACUAUGUCAUCAACUUUUUCAAUGCAUUCAUAAGAAGAUGGAUCAAUUCCAUGGAGCAUGGCAAAGCAAGCUACCAACAUUUGCUUCUUGUAUCGAGGGUUAAGAAGGGUAGCUAUAGCCAUUAGAGCUUGAAUGUCACUCCAAUACUUAUCAAAUUUUUUAGUCAUGCUUUUUGUCAUUUUUUGGAUAAUCUCAUUGCUAGAAGUUUCCCACUGCCUCAUUUUCAUUUUAAUUUCACAUAUCUUAGGGAAGUAAACAUUGGCAGUCACAUAAUCAGUUCCAGAAAAUAGCUCGGUUAUUUCAUAGAACAAUCUGAGUCUCCCUACAACUUCUUUAGCAAAAGCCCAAUCUUCAGCACUAGGAAGCCACUCAUAUUUCUUAUCCUUCACUAUCAAAUUCAGAAUAUGUGUAGAACAGCACAUGUGAAGUAGAGUACCUUCACAAAGAAGCUUAUUUUUCCCUAUCUUGCCCACAAUCUCCUCAACUGCCUUGUCGUUGACAUUGCAAUUAUCAACUGCCACAGUCAAGAGCUUCUCAUCAAGAUUCCGUUCCACGAACGACUCAUGAAGCAUCCGAGCUAUAGCAGCCGCAUUAUGUGGUGCAGGAACAUAAAUAAACCUACAAUAUGCACACAUACACAGCAGUUUGAGAGUUGGCAAAAGCUGAAAAUAGGCAACCCACAAUAUUUAAUGCUUUCACUACAAUAUACCUCAUGAGAAUAUUCCUUAGCCUCCAGGACUCAUCAAUGAAAUGGU
rnacentral:lncRNA from 1 species